rnacentral:sRNA from 1 species
CCGAGCCUGAUAACGAGGCGGAAACAAGCACUCUAAUCUAUGCUUAAGUGUUCCAGCAGGGGGCUUACAAGCACAAUGCGCAGCUGCAGGUUUCCUCUCCUAAUCUGAGGAUCUGGCCUCCCCUCGCACCCCUUGAAUCGGGGACGUUUUUCAAACUUGGCCCCAAGCUCACGUAUUCCUUUCUAUACCUUUCUAUACCUGAACUAUAGCCGGCAGUGGGCUAAACAGAAGCAAGCCCUUUCCUAAACCCACAGAAAAAAGCACUUUGCUCUGGGAGCAGCCCCACCCCUACGCUCGAAGGAUUAGAGGCUGGAACAGAAGGCAUCCCCUCCCUAGAUUAGCAUUAGGACCUAACCUCCUGAGAAUCUAGAAACCUCUAGUUACGGAUGGACCAGUUAGGACGUGGUGACGUCCACGCAAUCCCCACACCCCACCCCUUCUGCUCUCUGUUAGAAGCGCGAACAGCAAGCGGGUUUGGGUCAAGAGGUAACCCGGGCCUGGUUUGGAACAUGUGGUUCUCCUCUUCUUCAGCACCCGGCAUGCUGGGAUUACAAACAUGAGCCCUGUGUGGCUUUGUAUCUGCGUUGUUUGUUUGCUGGUUUGUUUUUAUGAGAGUUUUCUCCCCGCACUUCUUUCUUGCUAUUUUCAGUUGUUAGUUCCCUGAAAGCACAAUUCUCUCUUCUCUUUUUGUUCUGCCAACUCUGAUCCUAGACCCUCUGGGUGGCUACAGGGAACCAGGCAAAGGUGGUUUUGGUUGCCAGUGUUACCAAAACAAAACUCCACCCGGCUGCUCUGUGGCUACCUGACCUAUACCCUGUGUGACUCCACAUGGCCUUGACUUUCCCUGCUUGCCUAGCUGUUUCCCUCAGGUGAGGGAAGGGAUCUGCUUAAAUUGAUUCUAGUAAAUCCUAAACCUCUUUCAACUUUAAUUACCACCUUGAAGACCUUGUCUUCAGAUACAGCAAUAGUGGAAACUGAGGCUUCACAGUAGUAGAGAAAGCAUUAUCGGGAGAAAUCAUUUUGUCCCAACUAGGCCACCAUAGGCUGCCUGCUGUCUCUGAGGAGAGCACCUUAGGGAAGACUUAGGUUUCCUGACAGCGCUCCUACUAAGAGCUGGGGACCGAACCCAGG